UACGAAGGGGGCUAGCGUUGCUCGGAAUCACUGGGCGUAAAGGGUGCGUAGGCGGUUCCGCAAGUCCUGUGUGAAAUCUUCGGGCUCAACUCGAAGUCUGCACGGGAAACUGCGGGGCUUGAGUGUGGGAGAGGUGAGUGGAAUUCCCGGGUGUAGCGGUGAAAUGCGUAGAUAUCGGGAGGAACACCUGUGGCGAAAGCGGCUCACUGGACCAUAACUGACGCUGAUGCACGAAAGCUGGGGGAGCAAACAGG
rnacentral:rRNA from 1 species